AUGUAUUGCACUGCCACCUGUCACGAAACAGCGAUUCAAAUUAACCUGAUCACAGAAAGCGUAUGUCCAAAAAUUAAAGAAGGCAUUUAUGUCGCAAAUGCCAUAGAACUUGAACCAUUUGAAUCACACACAGAAUCACAAAUUUUUCAUUUCAACGUACAUUUACCACGUAUAAAUAGAACAGAAGCUGUCCUAAACAACCUAAGACUAGAACAUUUGAACCGGGAAGAAAAACACACAAUUGCAGACAUUUGCAAUGAAUUUAACGAGAUUCUCUGCCUACCUAAUGACGUGCGAACUCACACAAAUGCGGUACAUCAUAAAAUUAUCACAGAAUUAAACAAGCCCAAAACAACAAAAAUUUAUAGAUUUCCGAAAAUUCACGAGCAUGAAGUAAACAGGCAAAUUAACGAAUUAUUAAAUCAAAAUAUCGUCCAACAGUCAUCAAGUCCAUACAAUAGUCCAUUAUGGGUUGUACUCAAAAAGUCACAAAUAAAUAAAAAAAAUCAACACAAGUGCUGGAAUUUCAUAUCAGGAUAUGGCCCAUAAUUCACAAAUUUAGACAAGUUGGAAAACAACCUACAUAUAAUCGAAACAUUACUUAAUGAAUUAAAAGCAAUUUGCGUGAAAAACCCAACAAAUUACUGCAAUCCAGCAGAGAACCUUAUAGAGAGCAAAGUACCCCAACUUGCAAGUAAAGUUAUAGCUAUAAGGGAUUUAGUAAGCCACGCAACGAAUACCAGAAACAAACGGGGACUUUUAAACGCCGGAUCUGAUAUCCUAAAAUACCUAAUAGGAACACCAAGCGCGGACGACGCUCAAUAUUACCAAUCCUCAAUCAAGGAACUAACAAAUCAAAACCACAACUCUGACUUAUUAUUACAACACCAAAUACAUGUCAUGUAAAGCGCAAUAGAUAGUUAUAACAAAUCAGCCGUAGAAAUCAAUCAGAAAGCAAAGCAGCUCAAUAGAAACCUUAUGGUAACCGGUAACUUAACAUCCACAAUAAACGGUUUCAUGAAUCGAACUAGAAUCGACAUUUGGAUGAGCGAUCGGGCAAUGCUGAUAACUAUCCCAAUUAAAAUUUUACUCAAACUCCAAAUUACCCUUCCCCAAUACCCGCAAAAAUUCAUUAGCAUGUUCAACCAUACAUGCUAAUUGAUGCAGCAAGUAACAAAUACAGCAUGCUGGAGGAUUUUUCUAUCUGUAAGACAUUUCAUGGCAUUGAAACCAUCUGCGAAUGCCAUACAUUAUACUCCGUACUGCAAAGUAAUACCACAAGAUCCAGCAACAUCACGAGUUCCGGAAACCAACGUGCCUUCGGGACGAAGGGAAUUCUUUUUAUAAGGGGGGAUGAGUGUUAUGACCGUUGUCCCACCAAUAAUAUUUGUAUAUUAAAUUUGCGUACGACAUGUUAAGUUUCCAAAUGAUGUAUUCUUCCUUUAUCAUAUUUGCCUCUGCUAAUCGGAUGUACUAAGGCUUCAAUCAUUAGCAGACGUACGUCAUUACUUGGACUCUUGUACAUGACGUAUCAGAGAUAAACAUAUUGAAUAGGAGCAAAUAGAAAUCAGUAUCUAACCAAAUUUCUUGUGUAACAUUAACUGAGCAGCAAGUCUGUGUAACCGAAGUCGCAACGUCGACUAGGCCACAACAGGUGACAUGCAAUCCAGACGAUCAACAACAGGUUUUGCUUUCCUGGCAAAUAACAACAUCAUCAGCUGGAGGACACAACUUCAGAGAAGUGUAACCUGUUCCAUAGCGGAAGCAGAAUUUAUUGCCGCAUCAGAAGCAACAAAAGAAGCAAUGUGGAUCAAGCAACUAUGCAGUGAAUUAAAGAAACCAAUCAGUGCCAUUAAUUUAUUCAUUGACAAUCAAAGUGCUAUAAAGUUAAUUAAGGAUCCUGAAUAUCAUCACAUAACGAAGCACAUAGAUAAUAGAUAUAACUUUGUUAGAAAAAAAUGAUGAGAAUGAUUAGAGAAAAUGAUGUAGAUUAUGUAAACACCAAGCAACAAGCAGCUGAUAUAUUGACAAAACACUUACCUUACGAUACAUUUUCUAAAUUACGUAAUUUAGUCGGUUUUAAUGAUUUCAGUAAAUCAGAAAAUGUGUAUCAGUAAAGAAAAGAAAUAUCAAUUCGAUUACUCAUUUCUGACAUACCUAUGUUAAAUCGUAAUGUUUUUUUACUACUAUGGUUUGGUCUUAUUUUAGAAUGUCUGUAUUUUUUUGUAUCAUGUGUUAAAUGACACAUAUUGUAACCAUUGUAAACAAGUAACGCUUAAGCGAGUGUUAAGUUGUAAGAGUUACUUCAACUGAGUAUGUAUGCAACCAGAUGUACCCCUCCAGAAGUGCAACCCUCGAAUGCUGCAGUGCGUGCGUAGCCUUAGUUGAGAGUGCAUCUCUUCCUGUGUUUUGAAUAUACAGUUAACAUUUGCAGCAUCAAUUAAUAUUACAAUCCUCGCUUCCUCGCGCAAUCCUAAUUACAAAGAGGAUUGAUAAAGCAAUAAUGAACCAUAUAAUCGUUGAUAUGCUCCACACGCAGUUCACAAAUAUCGGGUAAAAUUUGAAAAAUAUUUUAGAACAUCGCUGAUAGCAACAUUUAUAAAAUAAUGCAAUCUAAAGUAAGGACUUCAAUUUUAAGAAGCGAGUGGGUGAGUGCUACCACCGAUAUCUGGACUAAUGCAUGUAUAACACGUUCACUUCUUAGUUUUACUGCUCAUUUUAUCCUUAAUCGUCAACUGGAACAAGAUCAUACCAGUCAAUAUGUUGAGCAAAAAUUUACAGAAAUGAUGAAUCAAUAGACUUAAAACUACAAAAACAACCAAAAACUAUGUGUAUAAUGGUCCUCACAACCGCAUUGCUCAACUUGUCAACGCCCUGCAUAACAAGGUUGAUUUCUACAGUGGCUCGCUUGGUGCUUUCAUUCCAGAGGCUAGAUCACGUCUACUACAAUUCCCCUAAUUUUGGCUUAAAGUCAUUCUCAAAACUAUUUUCUUUUAAGUUCUCUUUGUUCUUUCCCCCCUCAUAUUUACUUUGCAAUAUAGUAUCUAAUCUAAUUGUAUAAUGCCGAUUGGCGUAGGAAUAUUUUUAAAUAAAUAAAUAAAUACAAACAGCAAGAUUUUUCUGGUCCUACGUGGCCAUGUAGCAAAAAUUGCGCGAUGCAUAAUCACUAUGAAUUUAUAGGUUAUGUGACAUACACAAUACACAUGGUGAUAAAACUAGCACUAUUUUCUGACGAAGUAAGGACUUGUUAAAAAAUGCAGAAAAAUCAUAAGCCAUUUCCACUAUAGUGAGACAGCAACCAGGAAAUUGAUUGAGUAUCAAAAACAAUGUGGACUGUAAGAACAUGCUGUGGGGCAAGAUGUUGAUGUGAGGUAAAACAGCACAUACGUGCGUGAUAUUGCCAAGACUUUUAAAGCAAAAAAAAGCAGUCAACUUGUACAGUGUUGGGCAUGUUAAGUUUCAUGUUAUUCUCUCGAAGGAAUGGGAAGUGAUAAAGAACAUUAUAGCAGUUUUAAAUUUUGUUUUAUGAAGUCACACUUCCUUUAUCAAUUAGUGAUGCAUGCAUAUCAAUAGUAAUACCUUUGAUAUCAUUAUUAAACCACAAAUUACAAGUUCGAUGUGAAAAUGAUGACGAGAUGAUGACAAACAUGAAAAACUCACUAUACGAGUAUUUGAACGUCAUCCUUCGUUGAUGGUUGCUUCAAUGCUUGACCCAAAAUUAAACCGUAAAUACAAAUAGAAAUACAAUUAAGAUUGUAUAUAUGCGGUCCGAGUCAUAAAAGCAUAUAAUUGUCUUCACAGCAGACAUUGAGAAGAUAUACCUACAAAUCACAGUGGCUAAGGCACAUCAACGGUACCAAAAAAAUUUAUGGAGAUUCGACUCAAACGACCUCAUCGACGAGUUAGAACUGACAACGGUUACAUACGGAACGGCGGCCGCACCUUACUCGAAUCAGCAAGCGACGAAACAGCAACAAAAAUAAAGGAAUCUAAGUCCAAAUCAAAAAUUUAUGUGAUACCUAUAAUAUUCUUGCUGCUAACAUUCAUCAAAUCAGCAUCCACUUAAUACACAAUAGAAAAUGUAACGUCUGGAAUCUUUGAAGAACAUUUGGGAAUCUCACAAAUCACAAGAGGAGAAUUUUUAAUGCAGGUGAUGUUUGACAUUGAGAAAAUCAAGCACAACAUUCAAUCAGCUCAAGAAAUUGAUGAAAAGUUUCUACUAAUAUGCAACAUAACGACAAAUAAGAAGAGUUUAGAUUGUAAUGCACUGUACACAUCAAGUGAUGAACACGAUAGCAUCCAAAAGAGUGGCAAAAGAGCAUAAUGCUCACAUCAUCAAUAUGUAUCAGCAAGGACUCAAUUAUAUCAACGAAGUCGCUGAGCACCAUCAGCAGACAGGAUGUUCGCCACCACCAAACAGCUUCACCAUGAAGCCUUCAUAUAACACCUCUUCGGCGCCGGCCCCCAGCAUGUUUGCACCGCAAACAGAAAAGCGGCAGACACAUUAGUGAUGUUUUCGAACUUGGAAUUUUGUGUUGUACGUAUUUAGUGCCGAUAGUGCGUCGCCUCGGAUGUGGACAAUAAAGACAUUAAGCUGUACAGUGGUGCAAUAUCAACAGUAAUAUCAUAAUAUGUACACCAAAAAUCUUAAUAUUAGAAAUAGAUAGUAAACAUAUUUACAGAUGAGCAAGGGUCCGUCAUGUCAUAAAUUGACCCUUGGGCUACCGAUUAGAUAUCGCUAGAAUUAAAUUAUACAAAUAAGAUUGUAAAAGCGGUCGGCACCUAAGUGUCACUCCGUUGCGCAUGGUAAUUAAGCUAUCGCUUAAGAAAUUUUUUUGUAUGUAAGGAAAAAUUUUUCGAGCAAUCUCAAGUUCAUCAGAGGAAUUUGAUGUGUAUCAGCCUCGAAAUACCGGUAUUUCAUACUAAAUUCGUAAGUAGAAAUAGCUGACAGUGCACCACUAAAGGUGAAGAAGAAGACAUCUAGGGAUCAGCAAUUCAAGCAAAGCUGAACGGCCAAGACGAGAAUAGACAAACUGAGAAAAAGAUGAUGAAUGAGAAAGAGAGAGAGAGAGAGUGAUAGGCGACGCAUAGUCCGCCAACACAUCUGUUACAUAAUGAGUAACUGUCGGAUAAUGCACACACAAUCAAGAGUUGACUAAUUACGUGUUCAUUAGGAGUUCACAGUAAUAUUAAUCUACAAUUAAUAUUUCAAAAAUAUCUCUGACUGCUUUGCAGUAUUACAUUUAAUUUUUGAUUAGUUUUUAAUGCAUUAAUGUAGUCACUGAAUUCCAUUUUUGGAUUUAAUAUUUAUAUCGUUUUGUGAUACAUUUUUUAGGUUUAGUUUAGGUUGUAAGGUUUUUUAACGGAUUCCCUGGUAUUGUAUUUAAAUUAAUUCGUUGUCACAUGUGGUGAUAGCUGUGGUGAUAGUUGCUGCACGUUUUGGUUAUGUUUUGCCUAACUGGCAUGGCUUCGUUUAGUUUAUGACAAUUUAUAAUAUUAUAAUUUAUAUUGUGUUUCAUCUUAAAGGGUUAUUUUAUUGAGAAUAUUUCACUGGUACAUCAGCCGUUUCUUUAUUCCUUCACAAGAGAUUGAUGCACCCUAACCAACAAACAGCGACAAAUUGCCGACGUACCAUACAUAAACUAGACUAGCGAUGGUCGACUGAAGUAAGUAACUCGAGUUAACUCGAGUUGGGCGUAACUAGAACCCACACGAAUUGAAUUCCGAAUGGAACCGACAUGGAGCGAAGUUUGCCGAUCAUUUGUGUGAGACUUAUGUUCAUUCAUCAGUCUUUGAUUCAUUCAUUCAUUGAUUUAUUCAUAACAAACAAGUGUCACAUAUGUAGAUUUGAGGUUAACUUUAACACCUUGACACCGGCUCAAUAUUUCUUUGGCUGGUCCAUCUAGCAGCGCUUGUCUAUUUUUCAAAUUGUGUAAAUCACAGCUCGAGCACAGCAACUGGCACGACUAAUACCGUUAGCGAACGCAUAUUUUACAAGUCAUCGCGCUGUGUGUAACUUCGUAUCUACAUCUGAAUUAUUGCUGAAUAUUGCCGAUAUCUUGUUUAUUGAACGAAAACGAAAUGCGGAUGCUAACUGAUAGCGAAAGUUCUUCCGAUGAGUCGAUCAUUUUGAAGAAAAGGGUGCCAAAGCCGCGGUCAUCUUCCUACGAAAACUUAUUUACGGAUUCUGAAUCUAAAGGCUCAUCUAAAAAACGUCAACAUUGAAGAUGAAAUUUGGGGGCCCGUUACAGAAACAGGCAAUAACGUUAUAAAUCCUGGUUUGAAUGAACAGUUAUUUGUAGAUGUGGAUUGCAAUGAUCCAUAUUUGCUGUACAAGCUAUUUAUAAACGAUAGCAUUUUGCAUCUUAUGGUUGAUGCAAUGAACAGAUAUUGAACCCAGAGACGAAAUUAAAUGAAAGAAGAUGCAGUAACUAGUACCAGCACUGAAAAACACAACUUGGAAUGGACAGCAGUAAGUUAUGACAAGAUAUAAAAGUUUCUAGCAAAUUUGCUAAUAAUGGGAAUUCCAUGCUUUCCUGAAAUUAGGAUGUAUUGGUUCAAAACUAAAAUGUACACCAAUCUAAAAAUUAAAGAAAUUAUGAAGCGAGAUCGCUUUCUUGGCAUACUAAAUUAUCUACAUUUUAGUGAUAAUAACACGGAAAACCAGCUGAACGAAUUUUUUAAUACUUUUGUUGAACUAAAAACAAAGUUCAACGGUUAUUAUUAUUCCAGGAUCAGAGGUUGUGAUUGAUGAGUCGAUCAUUGCUUGGCGAGGACGGCUUUGGUUUCGGCAAUACCUUCACGGCAAACGACAUAAAUUUGGAAUGAAAUUAUACACACUAUGUUUUCCGAACGGGUACACUUACAGUAUAGUAGUAUAUGCCGGGUAAAAUGAAGAAAUGGCUAAGGUGGGUCAUUCUCACACGGACAGUUUUUACCCCAGCGUCCCAUUAGCCGAGGAAUUGCUUCGGAAAAAUACUUACUCUUGUGGUACCGUCAAAAGAAAUAGAAAGUUUUUGUCAGGGAAAGUCAAAGCAAAACAAAAAGGCGGUGAAAUGUUUUGUGUACAAAAUAAACAAGAAGUAAAAUUUUUGGAAUGGACCGACACAAGAGCGGUGUACCAGCUCAUUCCCAUUCCUGCAAAUUAUGCGAAGAUCCAAAGGAAAACUAAAACCUGACGCAUUUAAAGAUUAUAAUCAAGCAAAACAAGGAGUGGACUUAUCAGAUCAACUUACAUCUUAUUAUAGUGCACUCCGAAAAACAAUAAUGUAGUAUAAAAAGAUUGUAAUUGAAAUAAUUUGUGGCACAGCCAUUAUAAAUGCGUGGUACAUCACAAAAAAUGGGGAACAAAAGAAACUAAAUUUACUCAAAUUGCGAGAGAUCGUAAUAGAUGGACUCCUUAGUUUACCUGAUCAAUUACAGGAGGUGCCAAAGGGAGAAAAGCAUUAUUUAGAAAAAUACUCGGACACUGCAAGAACAGCAAGGAAGCUUUGCCGCGAAUGCUAUAAACAUUUAAAUGCCAAGGGGGGAAGAAAGUUUCGUUUCAAAAAUCGAAGCGAAUUAUAACAUUUUGUUCAGGUUGCAGCGAUAAACCCCCUUUGUGCUUUUCUUGCUUCAAAUUACUACAUAAGUGAAUAUUGUAUGCAUAUUGUACAGUAGAGUCCGUUUAUAAUGACAUCGAAAGGAAUUGACAAACACGUCAUAAUAAGCGGACGUCAUACAAAGCGUUUUGUGAAAUGAAAAAUCUUUUUUAUGUAAAUAUGUACAUCAUAUGUACUUUAAUAUGUAUUUUAAUCCAAAAACAUAGUAAUUACAUAUAAUUAUAUUAUGCGCAUCUCGCCUUAUCUUCUAAGUUGUAGAGUCAGCAUUCUUCGCGACUACUUAUGGCGCGCGUUGCAAAGCAGCGUCACUUAUUAUUAGCAGCUCGACUAAAUAAGUCAAGUAGUAUAAGACAUUUGUCAAAUUAUAAUUAAAAACUCAAGUAACAAUAAACGUUUUAUUUUUAAACUCA